AUAUUUAAAUAAAUGGUGUGGUAUUAUUAACAGCACGAUUAAUCAUAAUUCAUUUUUUAAUCACGAUUAAUUGCAAUUAAUUUUUUUAAUCGCUUGACAGCCCUUGUUAGAAGUAAUCUUAGCAGAUGUGGAUUAGUGGUCAGAGUGCAGGUGAGACAGUUAAAGCUGCAUUUAUUUAUUUCAUUUAUAACUAAAAGGAGAAAAAAAGCAUCUAUCCUUGGCUCCAGGGUAACAAGAAAUUUUGUUUUAGCUGUUUUGAAAAACAUUGCAGCAUCUUGAUAGAGACCAGCAGAGAAAAACCUCAGAGGGGGUUUAAAAACACUGUUAAAAUUCACUUCUCUCAAUUUACAUAGUUAAGGUGAUGACAGUAUCAGGACACUUUGAUUUGCAUAAAGCAGUAAUUAGUUCUAAGAUUUAGGCUCUAGAUAAGUAGAAAUUAAUUAUAGUGUAAAAUUAGAGAAUCCAACAUGGCAGACAAAAUGGCGGUGAUGGGGAUGACAUAGUUUAAAUUUAGAGAGUGGAAAAUUCUCUAAACACAGGGGAAGGAGCUCUACCCAAGAUGGCAUCAGGGAGAGGUGUUCUACCCAAGAUGUUCUCAGGGGGAGGAGCUAUGUAUCUAAAAAUAGGUAUGACAUAAUGGGGAGGUGCUAGAAAAGCUAGAAGCUGAUUAGCUGAGAUGAGCUGACCUUGAGAGAGCAACUAGUAUAUAAGGCCAACAGCUACCAGGCUGAAAGUGUGGGGUUUUGGGGGCUUGUGAAGAUCAGAAGCCUCAAGCAGCAACCAGAACAGCAGAGGCUGAGACAACUGCAGCAGCAUCUUAAGAAGAUUCCGGAAAACAGUUACCCAAAAAAACAGCAGCAGAAUUCUAAAGGUCACCAUGGCAACGACUUUCAUAGAAGCGCAAUCAGCAGCAACUGCUUGCAGCAACAGCCAGCAACUGCCGCUACGCCUGCAGCAGCAGCAACCAUCGUCUCCAGGUGCUGACACCAUGAUCUCCAGAUACUGACAGAGCAGAAGGACCCCUGAGACGGGUCAGAGGGAAUUAAGAAGAUAGAGUAUGCUUUGCUUUAUACCUUGAGACUUUAAUAUUACAGCAAAGAUCAGUUUCAAAAAGGAGAAUUAAUGAAAAGAUCCUGGGGACAGGCAUAGCCAGGAAAUCACCCCACUGGAACCGCAUUGUCAGAGAGCCUAGAGGCUGAGAGCUGUCAGAGGCCAGAGCUAGCAGAGAGGACCAGGAUCUCAGUGUGGAUGACCCUGCUCUCCCAUGGAUUUCAGAGGAUCAACCAGGUUUGAUGACAGGCCUGCAGCCUAUUCUGCAUGUGAGGGGGGAAACCCAUUCUUCCCAAUAGCGAAUGUGGGGGAUCUCCAG